GACGUGUGUCUGUGGUGCUCUAUACUCUUGUUCUGGGAACGUGCUGCUCGUGUCACUGGCUUUGGCUCGGCUCUAACACUAGCGGCUCAUUCAGACUCACUCCCACCUCUUGGCACUUGUCAAUUAUUUUUUUCAGUGUGUCAAUUUUACCUCCUUCAGCCGCCUCAAAGAGCAAACACUAGAGAGAGAGAACAGGACGGUUCUGGAGCGCCUGCUGAUACAGACGCCGGACCUGCAAACACACCAGAGCGGGGACACACAGUCAGUUCAGCUGGACACACACACACACACAACGGUCUUCAUCAGAGCAAUAACUCUGAGAAGAAAUGUACUGACAGAGGACUUCACUUCAUUUCUACUUCCAAAUCAAUAGACAUCAAGUUCACCAUCGCACUACAAAACUGAAGAACGGCAUGCAAAUGUAUGUGAACCCCCGGAGGAACCGUGUUUCUGUUGCACAUCUGGACACUAGAGUCUUUGGCAUGUUCUGGAUAAGACUGUGGGGUCAGUGUUGAGACUGUUGCGUGAUUGGUCAUUUCCAGUAGAUCCUCUGAGACACUGUUACGUACUCCAUACGUACAGGCAAAUCCCUGAGAAGAUGCAGCAGUGACCCAACAAAUGCACGCGUGAGGAUCAGGAGGACAGAGCACUAGUUUCGGCUGUUCCUCGCACCAACUCCCAUUUUAAAAAAGGGUUAUUAUAACAUCUGUUAACAUUAAAGUGGGACCUGGAAGAUCUCACUUGUAAAAGCCAGCAUCUGGAACAACCCAGAGAUUCAUGUGACAAAAAUGAAAUAUGACUGAUUAUUAUUAUUAUUAUUAUUAUUAUUAACAUUAUUAAUAUUUACUUUAUUGGAAUGUGAUGGAACGUAAUGACUUUUGUGGGACUUGCCGUGUGAACUUGUAUGAUUAGAAAAGACUAAAUGGUUUUAAAACUUCACACUUCACACUUCACACUUGUUCUGUUCACAGUCAGAAUUGGCAGUCAUAACAAAUGAAUAAAUAAAAAUAAAAUAUCA
ensembl:lncRNA